rnacentral:lncRNA from 1 species
UAGACUUUCCAACUGGUAAAGCCAUGCUGUCUGAACCAGGAACUGAAGGCACAGUUUUUAAGUGUCAAUGCCCAGCCCAGUGUGCAUAUGUGUGAAGUAUGUUAGUGUUACGCUAUAAAUAAAAUCCUACAUACAUGAUGGCUUUUCAUCAAAAAGUUAAUUGUGGUUAUGCUUGAUUAACUGGUGGGCUGAAAACAUCAGGAAGUGAGUGCUGGAAGAAGAAUUUGGAUUAGAUGUGGCAACCUUCUCGUAAAAAAGUUUGGCUGUUAGUUACUCAACAAUCAUGUUCAUGCACCUUUGUUAGGUCUAGGAUUAAGCAUUUUGCCUUUGGGAUUUUGAAAUGAAGCUUAACAUAAUCAAAUUUAGUGGUUUAAAAAUGUUUGGUUUGUGUGCA